CCCUUAGAUGUUCGGGGCUGCACACGCGCUACACUGGAGGAAACAGCGUGUAUUGACCUGGUCCGAAAGGACUGGGUAAACCUGUGAAACUUCUCCGUGCUUGGGAUAGCGGAUUGCAAUUGUUUCGCUUCAACGAGGAAUUCCUAGUAAGCGCAGGUCAUCAUCCUGCGUUGAUUACGUCCCUGCCCUUUGUACACACCGCCCGUCGCUCCUACCGACUGAAUGGUCCGGUGAGUUGUUGGGAUGGCUGCGCGGCCGACGGGGCAACCUGUCUAGUGCGGCCAGAACUUCUGCAAACCUUAUCAUUUGGAGGAAGGAGAAGUCGUAACA
rnacentral:rRNA from 1 species